UGGGGAAUAUUGCACAAUGGGCGCAAGCCUGAUGCAGCCAUGCCGCGUGUAUGAAGAAGGCCUUCGGGUUGUAAAGUACUUUCAGCGAGGAGGAAGGCGUUGUGGUUAAUAACCGCAGCGAUUGACGUUACUCGCAGAAGAAGCACCGGCUAACUCCGUGCCAGCAGCCGCGGUAAUACGGAGGGUGCAAGCGUUAAUCGGAAUUACUGGGCGUAAAGCGCACGCAGGCGGUCUGUCAAGUCGGAUGUGAAAUCCCCGGGCUCAACCUGGGAACUGCAUCCGAAACUGGCAGGCUAGAGUCUUGUAGGGGGGGGUAGAAUUCCAGGUGUAGCGGUGAAAUGCGUAGAGAUCUGGAGGAAUACCGGUGGCGAAGGCGGCCCCCUGGACAAAGACUGACGCUCAGGUGCGAAAGCGUGGGGAGCAAACA
rnacentral:rRNA from 1 species